rnacentral:rRNA from 1 species
GACGAACGCUGGCGGCGUGCUUAACACAUGCAAGUCGAACGGAAAGGCCCUGCUUUUGUGGGGUGCUCGAGUGGCGAACGGGUGAGUAACACGUGAGUAACCUGCCCUUGACUUUGGGAUAACUUCAGGAAACUGGGGCUAAUACCGGAUAGGAGCUCCUGCUGCAUGGUGGGGGUUGGAAAGUUUCGGCGGUUGGGGAUGGACUCGCGGCUUAUCAGCUUGUUGGUGGGGUAGUGGCUUACCACGGCUUUGACGGGUAGCCGGCCUGAGAGGGUGACCGGCCACAUUGGGACUGAGAUACGGCCCAGACUCCUACGGGAGGCAGCAGUGGGGAAUAUUGCACAAUGGGCCGAAGCCUGAUGCAGCAACGCCGCGUGCGGGAUGACGGCCUUCGGGUUGUAAACCGCUUUCGCCUGUGACGAAGCGUGAGUGACGGUAAUGGGUAAAGAAGCACCGGCUAACUACGUG